UCGGGAAUUUUGGGCAAUGGGCGAAAGCCUGACCCAGCAACGCCGCGUGAAGGAUGAAGUAUUUCGGUAUGUAAACUUCGAAAGAAUAGGAAGAAUAAAUGACGGUACUAUUUAUAAGGUCCGGCUAACUACGUGCCAGCAGCCGCGGUAAUACGUAGGGACCAAGCGUUGUUCGGAUUUACUGGGCGUAAAGGGCGCGUAGGCGGUGUGUCAAGUCAGUUGUGAAAUCUCCGAGCUUAACUCGGAACGGUCAACUGAUACUGUCACACUAGAGUACAGAAGGGGCAAUCGGAAUUCUUGGUGUAGCGGUGAAAUGCGUAGAUAUCAAGAGGAACACCUGAGGUGAAGACGGGUUGCUGGGCUGAUACUGACGCUGAGGCGCGAAAGCUAGGGUAGCAAACGGGAUUAGAUACCCUCGUAGUCCCUGAGCGGGCUGGCAAGGCGCAU
rnacentral:rRNA from 1 species